rnacentral:lncRNA from 1 species
AUUUUCCGCAUCCAGCCUUAAGUCGCAUGGUAUAGAAUUAAGUCCCGGGGAGCUUUUCGAUUCAUACCAUGUCCUUUUCUUCUAGGUUUUCUUGUAGCUUAACAUAGACGUACCAGCAGUUUGGCUGGUAGUUGUGGACCUGGAUAAGCUAUGAAAAGGCUCUCAAAAGGCAUCGCUUCGUAAUGCACUUUUCAUGAUCGACUAACUGCAAACUCAAACAUGUAUGCUGUUUUGAGUAGCUUAUCUCUGGAUGAAGUAUCCCGUAGAGCUGUAGAGGCCUGGGAAAGAGGUGCCACCGAAGUUUGUAUGCAGGUAUGCACAAGUCCUGUAUCAUAUUCUGUAAUCUUCAAACAAACGAUGUAAUUCUUGUUUAGUCAGCUUGUAACUACGAUGUAAUUACAUGUUAUAUGGAUUCGUAGGGGGGAAUACAUCCUGAAUUCACUGGGGAAACUUACAUGGAGAUACUGAAAGCAGUAAAGACAGCUGCUCCAGAAC